UACGUAGGGAGCAAGCGUUGACCGGAAUCAUUGGGCGUAAAGCGCGCGUAGGUGGCUUCGUAAGUCCGUUGUGAAAGUCAAAGGCUCAACCUUUGAAUGCCGAUGGAUACUGCGGAGCUAGAGUACGGAAGAGGCGAGUGGAAUUCCUGGUGUAGCGGUGGAAUGCGCAGAUAUCAGGAGGAACACCAAUAGCGAAGGCAGCUCGCUGGGACGUUACUGACACUAAGGCGCGAAAGCGUGGGGAGCGAACAGG
rnacentral:rRNA from 1 species